rnacentral:rRNA from 1 species
UCCCUACGGGGCGCAGCAGGCGCGAAAACUUUACAAUGCGGGAAACCGUGAUAAGGGGACACCGAGUGCUAGCAUCAUAUGCUAGCUGUCCAGGCGUGUAAACUACGCCUGUUAGCAAGGGCCGGGCAAGACCGGUGCCAGCCGCCGCGGUAACACCGGCGGCCCGAGUGGUAAUCGUGAUUAUUGGGUCUAAAGGGUCCGUAGCCGGUUUGGUCAGUCCUCCGGGAAAUCUGAUAGCUCAACUAUUAGGCUUUCGGGGGAUACUGCCAGACUGAUCCGAGA